rnacentral:tRNA from 1 species
GGGCCCGUAGCUCAGUCUUCCUCAGCCUGGCAGAGUGAUUGGCUCUUAACCAAUUUGUCGAGGGUUCAAAUCCCUCCGGGCUCG